CCUACGGUGGGCAGCAGUGAGGAAUAUUGGUCAAUGGCCGAGAGGCUGAACCAGCCAAGUCGCGUGAGGGAAGACGGCCCUACGGGUUGUAAACCUCUUUUGUCGGGGAGCAAAGAGAGUCACGUGUGACUCAUUGCGAGUACCCGAAGAAAAAGCAUCGGCUAACUCCGUGCCAGCAGCCGCGGUAAUACGGAGGAUGCGAGCGUUAUCCGGAUUUAUUGGGUUUAAAGGGUGCGCAGGCGGAGGUGCAAGUCAGCGGUCAAAUUGCGGGGCUCAACCCCGUACUGCCGUUGAAACUGCAUCCCUUGAGUGCGCGAGAAGUAUGCGGAAUGCGUGGUGUAGCGGUGAAAUGCAUAGAUAUCACGCAGAACUCCGAUUGCGAAGGCAGCAUACCGGCGCGCAACUGACGCUCAUGCACGAAAGCGUGGGGAGCAAACAGGAUUAGAUACCCUUGUAGUC
rnacentral:rRNA from 1 species